rnacentral:rRNA from 1 species
UACGUAGGGUGCGAGCGUUGUCCGGAAUUAUUGGGCGUAAAGGGCUCGUAGGCGGUCUGUCACGUCGGGAGUGAAAACUCAGGGCUUAACCCUGAGCCUGCUUCCGAUACGGGCAGACUAGAGGUAUGCAGGGGAGAACGGAAUUCCUGGUGUAGCGGUGGAAUGCGCAGAUAUCAGGAGGAACACCGAUGGCGAAGGCAGGUCUCUGGGCACUUACUGACGCUGAGGAGCGAAAGCGUGGGGAGCGAACAGG